UUACGGCCAUAUCACGUUGAAGCACAGGUCGCCGUACGAUCAGCGAAGUUAAGCAAUGCCAGUCCUGGUCAGUACCUAGUUGGGUGACCGCUUGGGAAUACUAGAUGCUGUAAG